GGCUUGACAUCUGACAUCUUAACACCAGUUCCUGUUUCUUGAGGAAGGAAGAGGUAAAAUAAAUCAGCGUUUACUGUGUCCUUCUCCAUCCCCGGAAGUCCUUGUGAAGACCCUCUCAGAAUGACUAGACCUCCUGCAGAAUGACUAUAUUGUGCCUCCCUUGGGCACCCCUGUCUGCGCAGCACCCUCCGCCCCCAACUGCCCAACCGCCUCUCUCCUGGCAUUCUGCUUCUAGAAGUAUGUUCUUUUGAUGCAGAGAUGCAACACACACAGAAAUCCCAGCUGGAUUACAGACUUGAACCCGAAGACCUUAUGCAGAAUGACUAUUUAUGAACCACUAAACUCAGUACUAAAGCAGCUUCAACUUGAACGUGAAUAUGAGCAACUGAUCGUCUGUUCUGCAGUCAGCCCCUGGCCUGAUUCUGACUCAUGAUAUUGACCUUCUCCAUCAUCACCUUCCACAAAUUUGAUUCCUGUCUAUUCUGCCUGGAAUGGUUCAUAAGUAUAGUCACCGUUUAUGUUCCUGAUGAAAGGUAUGUGCAAUGAAUAAGUCACUGGUCUUGCCAAAUUCUAUCAUGUAAGCUUCAUUGUCAUUUCUAUCAUCAAUACCUUAUUUUCCAACUGCUGAUUUGUCUGCUUUGUUUUCAACUUCGCAUUCUAAAUGAUUGAUCAAUGCAUCACGUUUGAUCAGUUUCAAACUGUAUAACUUGGUAAAAACCUUCAACUUGUUCAUCUUUCACAUUCAUGAUUUGUGUGUAAAUUUGAAUAAUAGUCUUAUUAACUGGUCGUCCUGGUAGGCCUGUGGAUAUUAUCCUAUUGCUUGUAGUGUUGUACUUCAGAAAAGAUCUUGAUAUGUUCUUUUUAUCGAUGAAUAUGAUGCCGUUCUCUUUAGUAUCUCAAUCCUGGCAUAGUAGAACAUAUCAUUGUCUAGUUUAAAAUGUCCAAAACCAAGCUAUUUCAGCUCACUAAUGCCUUGGAUUACUGACCUUUAUGCAUUCCAUUUCAUUUUUGAUGACUUCCAAUUUCCCUAGAUUCAUACUUCCUUCAUUCCACAUUCUGAUUAUUAAAGGAUAUUUGCAUCAGUUUCUUCUCAUUAUGAGUUAUGCCCCAUCAGGAAAUGUCAUUAAAGUGGGAUCUACUUUGAGGAGGUAGCUCUUCCCCACUCGUAUUUUGAGUGCCUUCCAACCUAAGGGGUUAUCCUCUGUCAUUCAAUCAGACAGUGUUCCAGUGCUAUUUGUAAGAUUUCACUGGCCAGUUUUUUUUAGAAAUAGAUCACUAGGUCCUUUUUCCUAGUCUGUCUAAAUCCAGAGCUCCACUCAAAGCUGUCUACCAUGGGUGAACCUGGUGGUAUUUGAAAUACCGGUGGCAUAGCUUCUAACAUCACAGCAACAUGCAAGCCACCACACUACAACAAACUGACAGAAGAGUGGUGGGAGUUAAAAAUGAGAAGAACCAAAAAGAGUGCUUCUUCCAUGUCUGCUGAUUUAGAGGAACCAUGAAAAAUUGUCAAGUGAAGAGUGAUUCAGAGAAAAACAUGGGUAGAGUGUGACCUAAUUUCCAUAAAAACAAACAAAUGAAUGUCCUUACGUGUGUCCCGGCAAAAAGCAGUGUGUAAAAGGGUACAUGUGUAUCUUUGGACACUGGACACUUCAGGGGAGCUGGUACAAUAUACUUAUGUGGGGAUGGCUCUUAUUAUAACUUCUGUAUACAAAUCUCUAUUGUUAAAUGUGUUAUAAGAAUGUAAAACCUUUUAAAGUUAAUAACAUCAUACGUGUAUGUGUGUGUAUUUGAAACUUUUUUUCUGUUUUGACUAUUUUAUAUAUGUGUUUUUUAGUUAUCUAGUGUGGCUAUAGCAGAGAUACCACAAGUGGAUGGCUUUAACAAACAGAAGCUUAUUCUCUCACAGUUUAAGAAGCAAGAAGUUUGAAGUCAGGGCACCAGCUCUAGGAGAAAGCUUUCUCUGUUUGUGGCUCUGGGGGAAGGCCCUUGUCAUCUAUCUUCCCCUGGCCUAGGAAAUUCUCAGCGUGUGGACACUGGGUCAAAAAGACGUGCUCCACUCCAGGCACUUCUUCCUUGGUGGUAUGAGGUCCCUCUCAUUUCUGCUCACUUUUCUCUUUGUAUGUCAAAAGAGACUGACUCAAGACUCACCCUAAUCCUGUAGAUUGUGUCCUCCCUCAUUAACCUAACUGCCUCUAAUCCUGCCUCAUUAACAUCACAGAGGUUGGAAUUUACAACACAUAAGUAAUCACAUCAGAUCACAAAAUGCAGGACAACCACACAAUACUGGGAAUCAGGGUCUGGCCAGGUUGACACAUAUUUUGGGGGACACUAUUCAAUCCAUAACAAUAGAGAAAACACUGUCUUCAAUGCCAGAUUCAGAGACUUUUAUCCAUCUGUGAAGGGCAAACACAGAAAUUGAACAAAAUUCAGACCAGCGAAUUAUUGCUUGCUCUUGUAACUAAUGACUUCUUCUGGUCUCUAUGCCUGGAAAUGGCCAAAAAGAAUUCUGUGAGGAUUAAUUCAGUUAUUGCUCAAACAUCUACUGCAUUUACAUGUCUACAGAUAAGGAAGAAUGCUGGACACCAUGUGUGAUUCAUUAAGUAACACGGGGACCAUUAGACUAUUGUUCUCCUUCUCUGAUAUGCCACUAUCACCUUCUCCCCUUGUUGCUCUCCUGAAAAACCCACGCUUGUAUAUUCUAGGCUUUUAUCCAGGAUUGAAUUUGCAAGAAGUUAAAGAUAUAUCUUUGAAAGAUAAAGAAGACUUUGGCCACAUUGUCUUUAGACAGUUGAACUUCCCAGCCAACCUCUGUGCAGGAUGGGAAUUCACAAUCCCUCCUACUCAGUACCUCUGAGCAGGACGGGAUUUCUGUUUCAUUGUCAGGAGAAGGCGGAAUUCAGCCUUCUUCAGAAAACUUACUUUCCUUUGCCUCAAACUGUCCCUCUCAGGAUCUGUCACGGUCACUCUGAGAAAUUCACAUGGGCAGCCUGUAUGGAAGUGCCCAUCCUAGAGGCCCUGCCCUCCCUUCCUUGCUCCACAGGGCUUCCUCUGACACUUGGGGUCACAUCUCCCAGGGA